UACGGGGGGUGCGAGCGUUGUCCGGAAUCACUGGGCGUAAAGGGCGCGUAGGUGGUUUGAUAAGGGAGCGGUGAAAGUCCGGGGCUCAACCCCGGAUCUGCCGUGCCGACUGUCAAACUCGAGGGCUGUAGAGGCAGACGGAAUUCCGGGUGUAGCGGUGGAAUGCGUAGAGAUCCGGAGGAAGACCGGUGGCGAAGGCGGUCUGCUGGGCAGUUUCUGACACUGAGGCGCGACAGCGUGGGGAGCAAACAGG
rnacentral:rRNA from 1 species